GCAGGUCCCCCGGCGGUUCGACUACAACUUCACGAGCCCGAGCAACGCCUCCCAGUCCGUCCGGAUCACCAGCAUAUUCAACGGCCACUGGAACGAGUCCAUGAACUACCUCGGAUUACAAUCUCUCGAGAACGAGGACUUCCGGCGGCUGCUGUGGAAAUUCUUCUCGACGGAGGAUCGGGUCCCGGACGUGAUGAUCCUCAACUCCGGCUUGCACGACGGCUUCUACUGGCGGAGCGUCCGGGCGUUCGCCCAGGGAGCCGACCGCGCAGCAGAGUUCUGGGCGGAGGUCAUGAGGCAUGUGAGGCAGCGCGGGAAGGCGGUGCCGAGGAUAUUCUACCGGACGACGAUUGCGGCGGGAGGGUACGGGAGGUUGCUGGUGUAUAACCCGAGCAAGAUGGAAGCGUUCAACGGCGUGCUGCUCGAGAAGCUGAAGGAGAAGGGGCUGCUGUCGGCCGGCGGCGGCGGCGUCAUCGACGACUUCGACAUGACGUUCCCCUGGCACUACGACCACCGCUGCAGCGACGGAAUGCAUUACGGCCGGGCGCCGGCCAAGGCGGUGUGGAUGGAUAGGCAGAUUGGGCACCACUAUUUUGUGGAUUUGAUGCUAGCCCAUGUACUCCUCAACGCCAUAUGCAGCGACUGAGUGCGACGUCGCACGAUUCCUCCGCUCAACUCCGCGUCUACUGAUCGAAAAUGGGCAGAUGAUGCGUGCCUUCAGCAAUUUUUUUUUUUCUUUUUUGAGAGAUGGAUAGCACGGUAUCCGUCUCAUUUAUUUUAUCUAAAAACUAAAAAUGUAAAUUAAUUAGGAUUCGAAUUUGAAAUCUCGAGUAUCAACUAUCAAAUUUUUUGCCAUUUGCGCUAGUUACAGUCGGUAGCUUCAGCAAUUUUGGCAGCUACCUUAUUGUAGGGUUACUAAGGGCCCGUUUGUUUUGGUGUAAGUGGAGUGAUGGAACUCAAGUUCCAUCACUUCCGUUAUUUGUUUUGGUGUAAGUGAAAAAUAUAAUGUAACUCAAGUUACGUUAGAGCUCCACUUCACCUACUCUCGACUUCCGGCUCUAAAGUACCGAACUCGACUUCCACCACACUCAACCUUCUCUAAACAAUUUAUUAAACAGUAAAAUCUAAACUCUACUUUCUUUAUAAUGGGUUAGAAUUACUUUAUUUAUAAUAAAUUAAAAUUAUCUUUAAAUAAUAAUAAAAAAUUUAAUUAUAUAAUAGGUUAAAUUUUAUAGUGAUAAAUUUAUUACUAUAUUUAGGAGAUAAUGGGAUCCACUUACUUACAUCAAAACAAACAACGGAACUCAAAAAACUAAUUUUACCAGCACCAAGUUACAUCAAAACAAACAGCAGAAGUGAUUGAAUUUAACUUUCAGUGGUACGAGUUACGUCAAAACAAACAACAGAAAAAUAAUCACACUUCAGGGAAACUCAAACACCACUACACUUGACUUACGUUGAAUCUACAAAUUCGUCAAUCCAAACGCCCCCUAAUUGUAUAGAUCUCCUAAAUAUAUUAUUCAUUAAAGAUAACUUUUUUUUCCUCAAUUCAUAUACUUUAUUUCAAACUAUAUACAAAGAAUUGAGCUAAGUUUUAAAAAGUAUGAAAUGAUUAGUACCUUUGCUUUUAAACGAAUCAAAUGCGUUUUAAGAUCUAUAUUUUAUUGACAUGUAGAAACGAAUUUUAGAUAAUAUUUGAAUAAGAUGAACUGAAUUGCCUCAAGAGUGAAAAGUGCUAUACCCACGAACACUUCCACAAAAUAAUUUUCAAAACAUGUUCUUCGAUGGACUUGUGAGAGGCUCAUCAUAAUAAGAGUUGGAGCACUUUGGAUUUUGCUAUAUUAUCUCAGGUUUAUUUCUCUUUACAUAUUUACUCUGAGAAUACGCUUAGUACUUACAAGACUAUCUUUAUUUCCCUUAUAAUUGAGUAUUCCUAAAACUGGGUCAUUUCUACAUACUUUUAAGAUAAGCGAUGACAAAAAAAAAAAAAAAAAAAAAAUUGCCAAUUUGUAUAUGAUGAAGUGCUUUGUAAUAAUCAAAUAACUUUCUUUUCUUCUUUUAAGUUGUUUGUAUUUUUCAGACAUAUGAAUAAAGACUUAAAUAGCAAGAUAAAUUGGAUUGUCAUAUGGCAAUUAUCAAUUUGCUGAAAUAUUCUAUUUUCAAUAAGAGAAGAAAAAAAUGAAAUUCACAUUUUUUUGAAGCUAAAUUAUCUGAGUUUAUAAUUAUUUUUAUUGAACUUUAAUUUUUAAAAUAAAAUGCACUACUCAGAUAAUUUUAAGAGGAAUGCUUCAAUACACCACAAGUAUUAAAAUUUAAUUCCUUAAUUAGUAAAGGGUAUAGUUGGGAUUUACACGAAGUAACCUGUUGAACAGGUUACCGAUUUGAAUUAAUUAACAUGACAAUAUUGAAAAAAAAUUAGUAUAUAUCAAAUUUGUCAGUAUCCUUUAAAUAUUAAAUAUCUUAUUUACUUUGGUAACUUACCAAAUUAGAUUAUACCCAAUUUAUUAAGUAUUCAUCUCAAAAAAAUAUUGAAUUUAAAAUUAAUUUUUGAAAUUAGUAUUGUAAUGUAAAAUUUUAAUUUUGAAAUUUAUAUUAAACUUUUAAAUUUGAAUCUAAAUUGAAUGUUUAAUCUUAAAGCCAAAUUUUAAUUUUUGAUUUAAAUUGAAAUUUUGAAUUGGAACAAAAAGUUUUAUUUUAAAUUUAUGUUUUAUAUUCAAAAAAAUUAAAUUUGAUUUAUAAAGUUUUAAAUGUUGUUUUGAAUUUAAAUUUACAGUUUGGUUGUAAUUUAAAAUUCAACUAUUGUUGUAGGUAUUUAAGAGGGUCACAAUAUUCUUAGUUGGAUAAAACCGGUUUUGUGGACCAAACUAUUUUACAAAGACUAAAAUACCCUUUAAAUAGGUACCUGGUGAAUGGUACCUAUGCUUCAAUAGCAGGUCACAUCUAAAAUCAUAUUAAAUCUAAACCAUCUAUUAAGAAAAAUAAAUGGUCAAGAUUUAUAUGGAGUAUUGAAGUAUUCCUCUAAUUUUAAAUAUUUGAUAGUUUCUUUGUUGCGAUUUCGUUCUGUUUUUUAGCUUCUUUGCUCUUACACCUAUUAUGCGCUUCCAAGAAUUAUUCCCAUCUACUCCAGCAGCAUUAGUUGAAAAAUUAUUUUUUUUGAGUAUUAAGUGAAAAUUGGAGUAUCACAAUGUCGAUGAAUUAAGCAAAAUAAAAAUAUCUUGACUACUUGCAAUGCUCCCUAUCCGCCGCAACGCGCGGAUUCCUACACUAGUUAAGGAUUAUAUAUAUGGGUAGUUAAGAGUUUUGUAUGCUUGUUAAGAUUGUAUACAGGAGAAAGAAACGAUAUAUUGUUUAUCAUUUUAUUUCUAAAUAGUAGGAUAAUAAAUGAUUUACUGCCUUUUAUAUUUUUUUUAUGACAGUUAAUGAUUCAUCGUCUUUCAAUUGUUAUUCUACUCCAAUGCACAACUGAACAGAAUAAAAUUAUUUAGCUAAAUUUAAUAGAAUUUUUUGGCCAAACAUAAAAUUUUAAGAAUUAUUUUUUAAAAAAAUCCUCAUAAUAAACAUUCGAGAUUGUUGUAUUUUAUUACAAUAGCUAAAUUUGCUUUUUUAUAAAAUUAUUUAGCUAAAUUUAACAAAAUUAUUUGGUCAAUUAUAAAUCUCCUAUCAAUACCCACUUUUUUAUUUUCUCCCCUAUCAUUCAAAAAUCUACACUUUACCUUUUUAAAAAAUAAAAAAUAUUUAUAGGGGAUACGAUAUGACAAAAUGAUCAAAUUGUCCUAAUCUUCUUCGUCUCCUCCACAAUCCUGCUCAUCCUGCACCCUCGCUCGCGCCUCCCUCGACCCCAGCUCUGACUCUGUUUCCUCCACCUGCUCACUUGCUCCUCAAGCACCCUCGCCGCCCCUCUAUUUCAGCGACUGUAGGGAGAUCGUGGUGGGUAUGGGUGAAGAGGUGGGCGAGGGCGAGGGUGAAGCGGCCGAGGAGGGUGCGGGCGUGUAUCUGGGCACGGACAGAGGACUGCACGAGUGCGAGUGCAAGGGCGAGAGCGGCGCGGCGGAGUAGGGUGAGGCGGCGCGGCGAGGAUGUCGGUAAGGAAGGAUGAGAAAGAUGAAGGUUUCAGAAGUAUUUUGGGUAUAAAAAAUAGAAUAUAAAUGGAACUCGGGGCUGAAGUAAAUAUUUUUUUUUUUUUUAAGAGGGCAAAGUGUAGGUUUUUCGAUGAUAGCAGGGGAAAGUGAAAAAGAGAAUAUUGACAGAAAAAUUUUCUAUAAUUUAGCCUAAAUUUUGUAAUAAUUAUUUUGAAAAAAAGGUCCUUGCAACGAAAAUUCGAGAUUGUUGUAUUUUAUUACAAUAUUUAAAUUUGACUUUUUUGUAUAAUUGUCAGCGUGUAGUAUCAUCCAUAUUUUCUUGCAUUACUUAUAAAUCAGUGAGUCUGGGGACUUUUUUCGAAAAUAACCCUCUGAAAUUUUGUAAUUGGCAAAAUAACCCUCUGAAAAUUUUAUUUGGAAAACUAACCCUACUUUCGCCACGUCGGCGCCAGGUCGGAUUUUCCUCGUAAAGACGGUGAAUCGUUCACCGUCUAUGCGAAUUUACUCAUGAAGACGGUAGAUGGUUCACCGCCUUCAUGAGACGGUGAACUAUUCACCGUCUUUAGAGCGAAUCCAUCCCCGUCUUUAGAGCGAAUACAACACCUUUGGAACUGCUGUGCCCUCAACUUCGGCCCGAACUUUGGCCAAGGUGAUAAAACACAGAUAAGACGGUGAACUGUUUACCGUCUUAUUUGUCCUGCACUAAAGACGGUGAACAGUUAACCGUCUUUACCACGGCCAAGGUAAGACGGUGAAUCGUUCACCGUCUCCAAUGUUUUUUAUGAAGACGGUGAACAAUUCACCGUCUUACCUUGGUAUACCCGAACCCCCGACACCUCUCCCUCACUCUUCGCUCUCUUUCUCUCUUAACUCUCUGUCUCUCUCUCCCUCCGCACCCCGACAGUCGCCGCCGCCCAAGCCGACGUCGCCGCCGCCCAAGCCGCCGUCGCCGCCGCCCAAACCCGAAGCCCCGACACCUCUCCCUCACUUUUCGCUCUCUUUCUCUCUGAACUCUCUGUCUCUCUCUCCCUCCGCACCCCACCAGUCGCCGCCGCCCAAGCCGCCGUCGCCGCCGCCCAAGCCGACGUCGCCGCCGGUCGCUGUCGAGCCACCGAGCCUUCCCCCGUGCCACAGCAACCCACAUUGCAAGUAAUAUUCUAUCUUAGCAAUUUUCUAGAUUUAAACCUAGUUUAACCUUGUUUAACCUAGUUUAAUCUAGUUUAAGUAGUAUAAACCCUAAACCCUAUAAUCCCUAAACUAGUUUAGCUAGUAUAAACUCUAAACUCUAAACUAGUUUAACUAGUAUAAACCCUAAACCCUAAACCUAGUUUAAACUAGUUUAAACUAGUUGAGUAUAAACCCUAUACUAGUUUAACUAGUAUAAACCCUAAACCCUAAACUCUCUAAACUAGUUUAACUAGUAUAAACCCUAAACCCUAAACUCUCUAAACUAGUUUAACUAGUAUAAACCCUAAACCCUAAACCUAGUUUAAACUAGUUUAAACUAGUUGAGUAUAAACCCUAUACUAGUUUAACUAGUAUAAACCCUAAACCCUAAACUCUCUAAACUAGUUUAACUAGUAUAAACCCUAAACCCUAAACUCUCUAAACUAGUUUAACUAGUAUAAACCCUAAACCCUAAACCUAGUUUAAACUAGUUUAAACUAGUUGAGUAUAAACCCUAUACUAGUUUAACUAGUAUAAACCCUAAACCCUAAACUCUCUAAACUAGUUUAACUAGUAUAAACCCUAAACCCUAAACUCUCUAAACUAGUUUAACAAGUAUAAACCCUAAACCCUAAACCUAGUUUAAACUAGUUUAAACUAGUUGAGUAUAAACCCUAUACUAGUUUAACUAGUAUAAACCCUAAACCCUAAACUCUCUAAACUAGUUUAACUAGUAUAAACCCUAAACCCUAAACUCUCUAAACUAGUUUAACUAGUAUAAACCCUAAACCUAGUUUAAAAUAGUGUAAACUAAACCCUAAACCUUAAACCCUAAACCUAGUUUAAAGUAACCCCAAACCUUGUUUUAAUUGUGGUAUCUUGUUAUAGUUUCUUGUUUAUAUGGAGAUUAUGUAGAUUUUGGUGAAAAUAUAGUGUGGCAUGUUACUUAGCCAAUGUAUCUAUUUUUUUACAAAUCUUGAUUAGUUGAGCAUGAAAUAAGGUAUCUGCCUAAAUUCCUAAUCAGAAUAUAGUGUGGCAUGUAAGUGGUUUUGGUGAAAAUAUAGUGUGGCAUGUAAGUGGUUUUUCCUUUAGUGUUUAGAGUAAUAAUCAAGAAAUAGACCUUUCGAGGAAGAAAUGGACAUGUAUCAAACUUAUAAAGGUUCAACUUUAUGACUUCAUCUUUUUUUUCACAGAUUCAAUUUACCCUAGUAACACUCCCUUUAUUUUCUUGUUGCAAAUUUUCUAUCAUUUAGUUAUCAUUUCACUUAGGUUUAGUUUUCGCUGAUGAGAACAUGGAGAAUGUUGUUGAUUUAUUUUUCUGUGUAGUUAAAAUGGCUAGUCGUCGGAUGUCUCUUAGUGUUCAUUGGGAUGGACAGUUAGAUAUUGAUGGGAAUGGUCCUCGAUAUUUCGGUGGUCGAAAGAAAUUGAUUGCGAUUCGUUCAGAUACGACCUAUGCGAAUUUUGAGAGGAGAAUGUAUCGUUUAGUAAAUUGUAAUAGAGAAGAAUGUUGUCUUAAAUACACAAUUCGAUGCCCUACGGGAGCAAAUGAAUAUAUUGCUCAUGAUAUAGUAGAUGAUGAAUCAUUGGAGGGAUUAAUUGGAUUGUUUGAACAUUAUGGAUGUGUGUCGCUAUAUAUAGAGAAAGAUUUAUGUCCUUCAGAGACACAAUAUCAGUCGCAAGGUUAUUACACAAGCCUGCUAUAUAAUGAUAUCGAUGUGGGAUUUUCGGAGAAUCCAAUUGGUGACCGUGAAGUUGAUAAUGAACAAGGCGUAAGAAUGACAAGGUCAGUAAUAUACCUCAAGAUUGCGGUGAAUAUCUUUUAAAUUAUGAAAUUCUUUCAAUAUUCAACCGUAUUAAUGCAUUCUGCUGACUAUUAUUGGCUUUUUCACAGAUUACAUGGCGGCCGUACACAGAUGCUGUAUUAGAGGUGCUACCAGCAUUCUGUGUACAGGGCAGUGAGGUAUGGCGAUCGCGGACCACGCUGAUUUAUUUUCAUAUCGUCGAGCUUCACGUGCCCGAUCAAGUCCCUCGGCAGUUUGGUCUCCUGCAGCAUAUACCUAUUCAUGUGGAGACCAUCCGUCGCUUUACAUCUCAGGGGCGGCCAGAUGAGCAUUGGGGCCACUUUCAUGCUGCACACAUCGAGAGAUGGGGACAGCGAUUACAGUCUAUUAUUGACCAGCAUCUGAUUGUCGGUGAUGAUCCAGUACAGGCGACCUCGAUUUAUAUGGAGUGGUACUGGCAGAUCACGAGACGAUGGAUUUCUCGUCCAGUACAGCGUCCACCAUUGACUUACCAGCCUCGUGGCCAGACCGAGAGAGCUUUGGUACGAUCACUCAGCCCAUUUAUUAGUUUUUUAAUAUUUUGUAUAUUAUAGAUUGCCAAAGGUGAGUUAUUAUCUAUAAUGCAGGUGGACGCUAUACGACAGACACAGUAUAGCAUCAGGAGCCUAGUUCAUGAUCGACCUUCUUAUGAGGCGAUGAUUGAUGUAUUGACGGGUAUCGAUAUUGAUCUUGAGAGUGUACUGGAGUACAUUCCUACUAUACCUGUCGCCACUGAUAUCAGAGGUCGAGAUUUUGGACAUGCAUCGACAUCGGGUCAUCACCACCGUCAGACACCGACAUCUGCUGGAUCUCCAUCUCCUAGUGAUGUUGCUGAUAUACCCGCCGCCCCUGAGAGAUUUCCUACUAGGCCAUUGGACUUGGACUUGCUUUUGCCGCCGCCAGUCUCUAGAGAUCACUUUACAUUCGUCUAUUCUCGACGUCAUGCCGCGUCUUCAUCACAAGCCCGCCCAACAUCUAGACCAGCCACUAUCGAGGAGACUCAGGCGAUACCGGAGCAUCGCGAGGGCGUUAUGAUUGCGGAUCUCGAUGCGAUGGCCGAUAUCGAGCCAAUUGAUGACAUACCUAUUGCUGAUCUCGUUGUAGAGGGUGGCCGUAGACGUGGACGUGGCCGUGCACGAGGACGUGGCCGAGGACGUCGAGGGAGAGGACGAUCGAGAGGCUGAUUGUAUAUUUUUGAUUUAGAUAACUUAGACUUUGUAUAAUAUUAUAUAAUACUGAAUUUAGUGCAUAUUUGUAUAUUUCUCGGGGUUUUUUUUGAUAUUUUUAUCUUGUUGAUUGUAUCUUGUUAUUCCACUCGUGAUCUUGUGUUUCUUGUUGAAAAAUUUGUUAUCGUGAAAAAACUUGCGUCAAACUUGUUGAAAUUUUGUUUAAAAUCAAGCUUAAAACAGCAGCUGCUGCUGUUUGCUCUAAAGACGGUGAACCAUUCACCGUCUUUAGUGCAAAUACACAAAACCGGAGAAAAAAAGGGCUAAGUCCUGGCAUUGGUUUACGCCUAGAUAAGACGGUAGACGAAUCACCGUCUUUGUUAAGACGGUGAACGAGUCACCGCCUUAUCUGUGUUUUGGCCUCUUCACCGUCUUUAGUGCAAAUACACAAAACCGGAGAAAAAAAGGGCUAAGUCCUGGCAUUGGUUUACGCCUAGAUAAGACGGUAGACGAAUCACCGUCUUUGUUAAGACGGUGAACGAGUCACCGCCUUAUCUGUGUUUUGGCCUCUUCACCGUCUUUAGUGCAAAUACACAAAACCGGAGAAAAAAAGGGCUAAGUCCUGGCAUUGGUUUACGCCUAGAUAAGACGGUAGACGAAUCACCGUCUUUGUUAAGACGGUGAACGAGUCACCGCCUUAUCUGUGUUUUGGCCUCUUCACCGUCUUUAGUGCAAAUACACAAAACCGGAGAAAAAAAGGGCCAAGUCCUGGCAUUGGUUUACGCCUAGAUAAGACGGUAGACGAAUCACCGUCUUUGUUAAGACGGUGAACGAGUCACCGCCUUAUCUGUGUUUUGGCCUCUUCACCGUCUUUAGUGCAAAUACACAAAACCGGAGAAAAAAAGGGCCAAGUCCUGGCAUUGGUUUACGCCUAGAUAAGACGGUAGACGAAUCACCGUCUUUGUUAAGACGGUGAACGAGUCACCGCCUUAUCUGUGUUUUGGCCUCUUCACCGUCUUUAGUGCAAAUACACAAAACCGGAGAAAAAAAGGGCCAAGUCCUGGCAUUGGUUUACGCCUAGAUAAGACGGUAGACGAAUCACCGUCUUUGUUAAGACGGUGAACGAGUCACCGCCUUAUCUGUGUUUUGGCCCCUCCCUCGAGGACUUCACCGUCUUAUCUAUGCCCCCCGCUGUCGAUCGGAUUUGUCGGCUAGAUAAGGCGGUAAACGAAUUACCGUCUUUCUUAAAGAGGUAAACGAGUCACCGUCUUCGGCGAAUUGCUGCGCAGACGGUGAUACGCGGGGAAUUGCUGAGGAGUGGAGGUUCCUGAGGAGUGGAGGUUCCACGCCUAGAGAAGACGGUGAACAACUUACCGGCUUCAAGAUUCAGUAAACACGGUGAACGAGUAACCGUCUUAUUUGGGCGGGGGCAACACUGAGAAGGCGGCGAAUGCGGCGAAUGGUGUAAGCCUAGAUAAGGUGGUGGACGAUUCACCGUCUUUGUUAAGACGGUAAACGAGUCACCGCCUUCUGUUGAAUUGCUGCGUAGGCUGAUACGCGGGGAAUUGCUGAGAAGGCGAGGGGUCCACGCCUGAGAAGACGGUUAACGAUUUACCGAUUUACUGUCUUCAGGAGACGGUGAACGAGUCACCGUCUUUAUGAGAAAUGCUGAGGUGGCGGCUGAGGUGGCGAGAGGAGGGUUAGUUUCACAAAUAAAAUUUUCAGAGGGUUAUUUUGCCAAUUAUAAAAUUUCAGAGGGUUAUUUUCGAAAAAAAUUCGAGUCUGGCUUGUCCAUAUGUAUGUAAACUAUUUUCUCAUGAAAUAAUAUUGAAUAUAUCUUUUAAAAUUUAAAAUAUCUAAUUAAUUUUUGAUUGACCAAAAUAUGCCUAUUGAUUAUAAAAAAAUCUUUCAAGUACUACCAUUGUCGUUAAUGGUUUACUAAUCAGAUUGAUGUUUAGAAGUUUUAGGCAUUGAGGAGUAUAUUUGAAUAUUUUAAAUAGCAAUAAGAGUUAUAUCAGCAAGAGCCCCAAAUUUUAUUUUGUAAAAAAGAAACAAAGUUAUAUAUAGAUUGAGAUCACAUAGUAUACAAUGUGCUUGAAGUGAAAAAUUAAUCGUUUUGGAGAAUGAUGUGUGUGGCAAAGUUACAAGCAUUUUUAUUGUAGGGGCAAUUGCUUAUAUAUUCCUAAAAAGUUUUCGACUUUUCAAUUUACUCCUCUUAGAAGGCUAAUAUUGGAAAUACUCUUUUUACACUCCAACCUAUUUCUAAUAUAACCCUAGAGUUAAAAUCUGUUAAUGAACUCUGUUAUCUCUAUAAAAUUACUAUUUUGUCCUUUCAAAUAUGCCCUUUCACCAUCACCGACUUUCUUAUUUGCCCUUAAAGUCAGGAGCACAAAAAAUAUUUUGACUUUUGAUCUUUUUCAAUAUACUCUUCUACCGUCAUCAACAUUUCUUAUUUGCCCUUAAAUUAAGGGUAAAAUUGGUAUUUUAAUUUUUUUUAGCUGUGGUAGAUGUUUAACUCAUAUUUAACUCAAGUUAAUUUAACAAGAGAUAACUGUGGGGGUAUUUUGCAAUAACGGUGGAACAUAUGAAGGAUAUUUUAGAAAGAAAAAAAAAAAAGAAUAAAUCGGAUAUUUUCAAACGUAUGAGAGGUAUAUAGGUAAUUAUCCCUUUAUUGUAAUAGCUAGUUCAUUUUCAUGCUCACGUGGUAUCCUACCAUUGUGCAAUUAAUGUAUUUAUUUGUUCCAUAAUAGGGGAUAAACUGUACAAAUUUUGUUGACACUAGCUUCGUGUAGUCGGGAAAACUCUAUUUAUGGCGCAAGUGUGGGCACAUCCCCAAGGGCUUCCAUUGUGAAGCCCAUAUAUGACAGAUUAAGAUGAUAUCAAAGAAUGGCAAUUGCUUAGAUGGAUCUAGAAAAUCUUAAGAUGGAUAACAAGAAGAACCUAGAUGAGAGAACGAUGAUCUAUGUAUUGUGGCAAAAGUUAAAUUAAUUCCGUCAAGUUAGUCUUAAGUGUCUCCAGUAGAUCGUUUGAGACCGAUCUAAGGUGUUGCUUAUUCUUACCUUGGGAUGAUUAUAUUGGCUGCUGACAAUAUAAUGUCCACAUAUCAGAAUAAGUGCUUUUGCAUAAUUUUUGUCUAAUUAAGUUGAUUAAAUUAUGCAAAACACAUAAUACAAUUAGAACAGGGUGGAGAAGUAAUCACAAUUAUUACCACAACCUACUAAUCCAUCCACAACAGGUAAAGAGUGAUAUAACAAGUUUGAACCACUACAACAUCGUGAAAAAGCAAAUGCAAAAUUCAUUUGCUUCCGAAAAGCUAAAACCGAUCAAAUUCCAAACCUUCAAGAUUAUAGUUCACAUUAUGAAACCUUAAAACUGCAUUAUCAGAUCGAAAAGUGACAAAUAAAGAUUUAUGAACUUACAAACUUCAACUUGAGCGCUAUCGUCCUCUGCGGGUAGGUCCAUCCUACGACUUACAUUUUCCACGACCUCCUGCUCAGCGAGAAUAUAUUUGAAUUUUAUGGUGCCAAAUAUCAUAACUGUUACUGUCCAAUUUUUUUUCUUUGAUCAGAUUAGCAACAACUUAGUUUUGAGGCCAUAUUAUCUCACUAAGUUCACACAGCGCAUAGAAAAAAAUUCAAAAAUUAGCAUAUAUAUAUAUAUAUAUAUAUAUAUAUAUAUAUAUAUAUAUUUACGACAAACGCACAAACGGAAACGAAAUGAUGAACAUAAAAUUAUCAAACCACAACAGAAAGAAAGAACACACAGAUUAACGUGAAAAAUUCUUUGCAGGGAAAAAACCAUGGACGAGGGAGAGAAACUUCACUAUCGACCUCAAAAGGAAUACAUAUUUUCAGAUACAACCAACCACGAUCACACGCCUCUAGGCAAAAACGAAAAAAGAAACUCAUAACGAGUUCGAAUCCGAUUCCGUACCGCGGGGAGCUCCGCCCCCAACGCCCUGCGUAUAUAUAUAAUAUACUAUAUAAUAUAUAUAUAUAUAUAUAAUAGAGGUUGAGCUAGAAUACUCUCGAUAGUAAACGGGCGUUUUACUAUCAAGUUGUUUCGAUGAUAGAGCUUUCAAAUUACGAUCGGCUAACCGUUAAAAUAUGAUCUAAAACCAUUUAAACUACUUAGAAAUUAAAUUUCACGCACUUUCGAUAUUGUUCUUUUAUCCAUCUAGUGAACAAAAAAUAAUGGCUGAAAAUGAAUAUUCUUUAAAAAAUGAUGAUAGGAGUCUUGUAAUCAAGAUCAAGAGUAUAGAUCUUGUUUUAAAUAGUUAAAGAAUUUUCUAACAAAAAUUCAAUUGAUUUGGAUAUCUUUACACCGUUAAACGAGAAAACGUCUCUUAUCCACCAUUAAAAUUACAAAGUUUGAAACCUUUUGAUCAUUAGGCAAAUGAUAUUGAAAAGAUUUGAAAUUUGAUUUCUAAAGACUUCAAGUGGUAUAGAUCAUAUUCAACGGAGCCGAUCGUCAAUUUGGAAGCUCUAUCAUCGAAAACAACUCGAUAGUAAAAUGUUCCGUUUACUAUCGAGAGUAUUCUAGCUCAACUCUAUAUAUAUAUAUAUAUAUAUAUAUAUUAAAUUUUGUUGCAUCUCUAAUUAAACAAAUUGAAAAAUUAGAUCAUAUAUGCGUAAAGAAAAAUUUUGUUGCACUCAUAAUCACAUCACAUAUUCUAAGCCUAAUUUUUGUUGAGAGAAUUGGCCGUAUAUUUGUAAGGGAUCUCAACACCCUAAUAGAUAAGUAGAAGAUUAGGUUUAAUCGCUUUCUGAUUGCUAUCCUAAUAUAGUUAGAAUAUAUCUCUAAUUAUCUUUUAAAAUUAAGGGCGGGAUUAAAUUUAGUCCAAAUAGAAAAGAUAAUGACCAUCGAUCGAGUCCAAUCAUGGGCACAGCAAAAAUAAAUUUCGUAUUUUUCAACCAUUCUACUUUGAAUUAUAUUAGAUAAUAUUUCUGAUAAUGUUGUGACUUUAUUAGUUGUGGGUCAUUGCUAGACCUCGUAAUCUAUAUCCAUACCCGCGAGCUACCCACAAAUUUGCAGAUAUGUGUAUUAGUUUUUUUUACCAAAAAAAUUAUGGGUAAAACGGAUGAGUACUCGUUAAGUGGUGGAUAUUUUGAGCAACCCGCGGGUACCUAUGGAUACCCGCAUAUAUAUAUUUUUAAAUUAAAAAGAUAUAAUCUUUGUAAUAUUGACUCUAUAAUGAUGAAUUUUAUUAAUUUUGUAUCAUAAAAAUUCGGAAUGAUAAAAUACUUUUAUAUUAUGUAAUGUAUGUGUUUUUAAGAUUUUAUAUUAUUUAUUAUAUGUUAUGAUAUUUUAAUAUUUUUUAAAAUUUUAUAUAUGUGUUUUGCAUUUGAAAUGUAUAGUAGUAGAAAAGAAGAAAAAAUUUUACGGGUAACCCGCAUGCCUACCCGCCCAUAUAUGGACUGGUAUAGAUGAAAAAAUAUUAACUAUUCAAAAACGUAUGAAUAAAUUUUAUUCAUAUUUAUAUGACUUGCGGAUAUAAUAACUAGUUUAUAGAUUACCCAAUUACCCUGUUUGUUAGGUCUAAUUGUUGCUCUAACAACAACCUCACGGACAGGCCACAUGGCUAUAAUAUUUCUUUAAUUUGAUUUGAUUGAUAAAGUAUAAUGUUGACAAAAGAUGUUAACUACUGCAAGUAAAGAGGAAACUAAUCAAUUACUUACUACAACCACUCAGCAUGGAUAAUAAUAGUCCUUAUAAAUGGGGACCCACUUUAGAGCUGACUUUAACUCUCCAUUUCCUAAUCUUUAAUAAGGGGUUGUUUAAUUAGUCUAGCUUUGAAAGUCAUUUUUGGAUAAUUUAUGUUGGUUGGGUUUGAAAAAUUAAUUUUAGUUAAAAAAUUGUAGAAUGUUUGGUAGAGUUUAGCAAAAAAGCGAAUUUCUGAAAUAAUUUUAAAAAACUGCUUGGCAAAAAUUUUUUUUUCUAUUUGCAAAUAAUAAAUUUAAAUUUAAAAUUUAAAAUCUAAAAUAAAAUUUAAAUUUGAUAUUUAAAUUUCAAAUCUAAUUUUAAAUUUUAAAAUUUUAAAAGUUUGAAAUUCAAAGAUUGAAAUUUGAAAUUUAAAUUUAGAAUUUUCAAUUUGAAAUUACAUACAAUAUAAUAAUAUUUUCAAAAUAAUAUAGAAUAUAAUUAGUAUAUAUAUAUUAUAUAUUAUAUAAUAUAUUAUAUAUAUAUAUAUAUAUAUAUAUAUAUAUAUAUAUAUAUAUAUAUAUAUAUAUAUAUAUAUAUAUAUAUAUAUAUAUUACAUUAUAUAUAAUAAAAAAUAAUAAUUAAAUAUUUAUGAUGUCAUGCUGAUGUUAUUUGCUCUGAUUAUUUAAUCACUGAUUAUAUCAAGGAAUUUUGAUCGGAUAUAAUAUAUUUGGAUCUUAAAACUGUUUCGAAUUUUAAAACUACAGAUAGUUACAAUGCAGAUGGACUCGGCAUUGACCCAUGUCUUACUCCUACUCGGACUCGGAUUCUACGGACCGACAGACACCCCUUAUAAAAUCUCAAUAACUGCGCAGACGGGGAUUUCCUGUCUACCAUCCUGUGCUCAGCUUACGCUCCUCCGCGCCCCCCAACAAUGUCGGCACCGGCCCCACCAGUAAAGAAAGAUGGCAGCUGCGGUGAUUUAGAAGCCAACUGCGGGAGCAGCGGCACCGCCACCGCCAGCACUCCCCGCAGGCGGAUGGUUUGGAAGCCCCUCUUUGCAUCCUUCUUCGCCGCCCUACUGCUGUGGGCCGCAGACACCUCCGUCGUCCGCGGCGGCGCCACUCGUCCUCCGCCGCUUCAGCUCGGGUACUACCUCGGAUCCUAUUCCGCCCACACGUCCUCCCCCACCACUCCUCCUCCUAUAUUCAAGAAUAGUAGCAGUAUAGUACUAGUUCGGAAGAAACCCAUCUUCUGGAUGUCCGUACCCAUCGCCCCCAACUUCACCACCACCCUCCUCUCCCGCUGGAUGGCCCCCGCCGGGGACUCCCGCACCGCCGACAUCUCCAUCCCCGCCCUCGACGGGCGAGCCUCCCCCGUCGAGCUGUCCGCCGCCGAGAUCCACGAGUUCUCCUUCACGGCAUUGGACGCCGCCGGCCGGCCCCGCAGCCUCGGCGGCGACUACUUCGAGGUCGACCUCUCCGGCCCGUCCUGGAAGUCGCGGCCCCCGCUCCUCGACCGCGGCGACGGCUCCUACUCUCUGCGGCUCCAAGUCGCCCCCGAUUUCGCCGGCGCCUUCAACCUCACCGUCACCCUCCUCUUCAGAAGCUUCGAAGGGCUCAAGAUGUCGCCGGCGCGGCUCAAGUACGGCAGGCAGCUGCGGAAAAUACCCGUCAUUAUAUCCCGUCCGGACCUUAGCACUGGGGACGGGGACGGCAGCGCCUCCUCGCCGCCGGCUCUGCGGACGUGCCGCAGCUCCGAUUUUGGUCAGGAUUUCUGGUGGUCCGGGCGGUGGACGCGGCACGGUGGGAAGGAGAGGGAGGGUGAGUGUGCCGUGGACGACGAGGGGCGCUACCGGUGCCUGGCGCCCGACCACCCGUGCGAGCGGCCGUGGUGCACCGGCCCGCUGGGGGCGCUGGAGAGCGACGGCUGGGUCUACUCGGCCCACUGCUCCUUCAAGAUCUUCGCCGGGGAACAGGCCUGGGACUGCCUCGCGAAGAAGUGGAUCUUCUUCUGGGGCGACUCCAACCACGUCGACACCGUCCGGAACCUGCUGCACUUCGUGCUCGGCCGCGCCGACGUCAAGCAGGUGCCCCGGCGGUUCGACUACAACUUCACGAACCCGAGCAACGCCUCCCAGUCGGUCCGGAUCACGAGCAUAUUCAACGGGCACUGGAACGAGUCCAUGAACUACCUCGGACUGCAGUCCCUGGAGAACAAGGGCUUCCGGCGGCUGCUGUGGAGGUUCUUCUCGGCGGAGGAGCGGGUGCCGGACGUGAUGAUCCUCAACUCCGGCCUGCACGACGGCGU
rnacentral:lncRNA from 1 species